UACAGAGGGGGCAAGCGUUAUUCGGAAUUAUUGGGCGUAAAGGGCGCGUAGGCGGCUUGGCAAGUGGAUGGUGAAAUCCCUCGGCUUAACCGAGGAACUGCCGUCCAAAACUGCUUCGCUUGAGACCGGGAGAGGUGAGUGGAAUUCCCAGUGUAGCGGUGAAAUGCGUAGAUAUUGGGAGGAACACCAGUGGCGAAGGCGGCUCACUGGACCGGUACUGACGCUGAUGCGCGAAAGCGUGGGGGAGCAAACAGG
rnacentral:rRNA from 1 species